GUCAGGAGACAGAAGAGGAGCCUACAAGGCUUUCAAGAAAAAAGAAGGCUACAUUUAAUAGAGAGUAUCAGGAUUUCCUACUUCAAAUACGGACUUGUCUCAACGGGAGAUUCGCGCACAAAGCCCACUCUUCAUAAUAUGCGGCGAUGGUGCGACACGCUCCUGAGACCGGUCUUCCUCUCGUGUGGUGACCCACGGCUGCCGUGCAUGCUGCUGAUGGAGAGUCACAUGAGGAGUCAGUUCCCUCUGUCAAUCAAUGGAAGUCACAAGCAUUAAGUCUUCUAAUCCGGUGUCAGCUAAUCAUUUAUUGUACGGAUGGAUGCCAGGUGGCCUCGGUUGGGUGUAAGUGAGAUGCAAAAGGGUGAGAAUACGCUUCACAACACCUCCUUUCAUCUCGGCCAGGCUGACAUCAGAACACAACGGCACCUGGGGAGGAGGACCACCGCGCUCACACGUCGUCUCAAAGUGAAGAGUGAUGAUGACUGCAGAUUGACGUUGCGGAUGGAAGUGACAAACCACACUUGCCCCGUGCUUCAACAAGCAACCUUUUCUUUGAGUGAGCUCGCUUUCUGUUGUGAAACACUCAAGUUCUUGCCCACGAAGCAUGUUUGUUGGAUUGAUUUACUCCUCCUCGUCCUUACAUUUUUUUUUCAUGGUGUAACAAAAUAUAUGAACACAAACGGCGCAGCAGCACAUGUAGACAGACAAUAUAUCAAUACUCAGUAAUAUAUUCUGUAUCCUCUACAAAAAAAAAAUUUGCUUCCUGAGCACUUGUGACCAUCUUUAUGCUUACAUGUAUGAAUCCCUGUUUGCUUGCCUGUGUCUACGUAUCCAAGAAAAGGUGCAUCCA